UACGAAGGGGGCUAGCGUUGUUCGGAAUUACUUGGCGUAAAGCGCACGUAGGCGGAUUGUUAAGUCAGAGGUGAAAUCCCGGAGCUCAACUUCGGAACUGCCAUUGAUACUAUCAAUCUUGAAUACCGUGGAGGUCAGCGGAAUAUGUCAUGUAGCGGUGAAAUGCUUAGAUAUGACAUAGAACACCAAUUGCGAAGGCAGCUGGCUACACGAAUAUUGACACUGAUGCACGAAAGCGUGGGGAGCAAACAGG
rnacentral:rRNA from 1 species